rnacentral:rRNA from 1 species
AAUGAACGUUGGCGGCGUGGAUUAGGCAUGCAAGUCGAGCGGCAGCAGGCCCGCAAGGGCGCUGGCGAGCGGCGUAAGGGAGAGUAACGCGCGGGUACCUACCCUCAGGACCGGGAUAGCUGCGGGAAACUGCAAUUAAUACCGGAUGAUGUCUCCGGACCCAAGGUGUGAUUCCGCCUGGGGAGGGGCCCACGUCCUAUCAGCUAGUUGGUGAGGUAAUGGCUUACCAAGGCUGCGACGGGUACGGGGUGUGAGAGCAUGCCCCCGCUCACUGGGACUGAGACACUGCCCAGACACCUACGGGUGGCUGCAGUCGAGAAUCUUCCGCAAUGGGCGAAAGCCUGACGGAGCGACGCCGCGUGCGGGAUGAAGGCCUUCGGGUUGUAAACCGCUGUCAGAGGGGAACAAGUCCAUGGAGGUAAUCCGCCAUGGUUGAGUGAUCCUCAGAGGAAGCGCAGGCUAAGUCCGUGCCAGCCGCCGCAGUAAAAC